CGUUCCUGCGUGAUCUGGUCGCGUUCUACGUGAUCUUCGAGGGGAUGUGGUUCUACACCGGCUUCGCGCAGAUCCUGUCGCUCGGCCGCCGCAACAAGAUGGUCGGCAUUACCAGUACAUCCUGCGCGAUGAGUCCAUUCACCUGAAUUUCGGCAUCGACGUCAUCAACCAGAUCAAGAUGGAAAAUCCGCAUCUGUGGACGCCAAAGUUCCAGGACGAGGU
rnacentral:misc_RNA from 1 species